AGUGAACGCCGGCGGUAGGCCUAACACAUGCAAGUCGAACGGCAGCACAGUAAGAGCUUGCUCUUACGGGUGGCGAGUGGCGGACGGGUGAGGAAUACAUCGGAAUCUACUUUUUCGUGGGGGAUAACGUAGGGAAACUUACGCUAAUACCGCAUACGACCUACGGGUGAAAGCAGGGGAUCUUCGGACCUUGCGCGAUUGAAUGAGCCGAUGUCGGAUUAGCUAGUUGGCGGGGUAAAGGCCCACCAAGGCGACGAUCCGUAGCUGGUCUGAGAGGAUGAUCGGCCACACUGGAACUGAGACACGGUCCAGACUCCUACGGGAGGCAGCAGUGGGGAAUAUUGGACAAUGGGCGAAAGCCUGAUCCAGCAAUACCGCGUGGGUGAAGAAGGCCUUCGGGUUGUAAAGCCCUUUUGUUGGGAAAGAAAAGCAGCAGGUUAAUACCCCGCUGUUCUGACGGUACCCAAAGAAUAAGCACCGGCUAACUUCGUG
rnacentral:rRNA from 1 species